UUGGGUGGAGCCUCCAGCGGCCUGGACUUGGGCGGGGCCCUAAGUGAUGAUGGUACAGCUUUCCACAAGAUGGCGCUAGUCAACCAGAGAAUGAUUUUUCAGGCGGUAGAAACAUUUUUUGCAGAAUUGUUCUGUAUAUUUUCCUGUGAGUGGGGUUGUUUGCCUUCUUCGGGGUUCAGAUAUGUCUUUGGUAUGCUGAGCUUAUGCAGAAGCCUGGGAGAUUGGAUGGGGUUACAAGGAGAAUAUUGGUUGGUUGUGCUUCAGUCUCUCUGGUUAGGAUGCAGGGCGCAGGGCACAGGGCACAGGGCUGUCCAGUGGAGGUGUCCACAAGUCCUCCAGAUUCAUUGGCUUUUCCUCUCUGUGGGUCCUGAGACACCUGAGCCUUCCUUUAGUCUUCUGUGGCCAGUGCUCGCAGAAGCUGCCAAAGGAAGGCGUAAAUGACAACCCUUCCCUGAUGGACGACUCCGUUUUGAGGUGCAAACCAUCUGGCUGGCUCUUUCAAUCUUCUUGAACACAGAAAUCUAUCAAUUGUGCUUGCUGGGUGUUUAAGGCAGAUUCGAGGGAGGCGUGUGAGGUCCCUUUGUGUGAGAAACAGAGUAAAACACCCUUUCCCCCGAGUCUUGACUUCAUGAGAGGAACAAUCCAGUCGACAGGGCACAGGGUGGGAAAGAAAAGUAUAAAUAAAUGGGGUCAUCCCAGGCUCUGCGUUGUCACCCUGGAGGCCACAGGAUCACACACUUCCUGUCCACUUCCCAGUUCCUUGGAUCCGAUCUUAAAGCUCUCAUGGACAAAUUAUUUGGUCCCCAAAGUGCUCCCCAGUUAGUGACAUACAUUGCAGCUUUGCCAAGAUGCCCCCCCCCCAGUCCCAAGUUGAACUUAGCAAAGGUUCUGAGACUCUCCAGUGAGUCACUCACACUGUGUGCUCCAGAGAUGCACUGUAGUGUCUAAUCCCAGCCUUCUCAGAACUGUUUUUUUGAGCAUGUUACAGGCCCAGAAGGACCUUCAUGAUCCUCUGCAGGAGGUCUGAGGACCUGGAGAGCUCCCAGAUGGACCCCUUCCCUUCGGCUCUGUUUGAUCCCAAGACGAAUUUCCUAAUGCAAUGGGAUUUUCAAGGUCUCUACAUACAUGGAGGAAGGAAGGGAACCCGGGUCCACACUUCUCCAAAGACGACAAUAGCAUCCCCCAUGACACCCCAUGAGCCCCUCACAGUGUGGCCAGACACUCCUCUCAUGUCAGGAUGGAGGAUGUACCCCUGCCUCUGACAUUCUUCCAACCAAAACAGCAGUAAUGAGAACAUCGAACCCAGAAAUGGCCUGCGAGUUCCCAUCUUGAGUGCUGAGACACCAUGGGGAACACAAGAAUCCUGGUACCACCAAGCUGAGUGACAAUGGCAAGUCACACAAGGAGGCUGACACACGGCUAAGGACUGAAUGGGCCUUCAGAGGAGUCUUCCAUGCUGAGCCCACUGUGGGACAGAAACAGGCCACCACUCCCUUGCCCUCUGCAGAUACCUUGGCACUCAGUGUCACUGGGAUGGGACUGGCUGGCCGUGCCACAAUAGAGAGAUGCUAUUAAUAAGAACAAAGGCUGGGAGGCACAGGCAGGGGUGCGUGCCCAUCCCCUGGGCAGCGCAUCAUCUGUAGUUGCUAAUUUUCGUGUGUGAUAUGGAUAACUUAGCUGGGUAGAUCCCCUCUUCUUUCAGCCCCCCAAAUAGAGUCUACCAGACAAUCCAACUCUUCUCAGAGCCCAACUUCAGCAAGCAUUCUGGGUUUACUCCCCCUCCCCCCAGGCAUGCAGGUAUGGUAAAAAUGCCUUUUGUGGACAUCAGAGGCCCCACUUCACUACAAGCCAAGUCCCCAGGCCUUUGCCCAGCUUAACACAGCUGUUAUCCACAGUGCUCACAAACAGCUGAAACAAUAAAAUUAGACCACUGUUUUCAUAGUCAAACUCCCCGUAAGGCCACCAGAGUUCUGAACAUGUUAGCCAUAGGCGUCUCAACCUGUCAUCACCCGCUUCAUUUAAGCACUGUGAACCUGUGUGACUGUCUUUGGAGGGCUGUCUUACCUAUGCGACCCACCUGGGUGGGAAUUUGGGGGCCUGUUGGAUAGCCAAAAUAUUUUUGGGGUUUCAAGUCUUUAAAUCACUUCCAAGCAUGAUUCUGAAGCUAGCUAGUAGGUCAUGCCCCUGAGAAUCAACGCUUCCUUAGAAAAUUCGAGCUGUGUAUUUUUCUCCAGAAAAUAUUUAUUUAUUUCCCUUUUUUCCUUCGGUUUUACCAGAAGGUCUGGCUUCAGCCUGACUCACUUGACAAUUUUUUCUAUUAGGCGCUGAGGAAAUUGCUCAGAUGUAAAGCCCCAGCUGUGUAACAUGAGGAGUUGAAUCUCUGGGGUAGUUUGAAUGUAACGGGCCCCCAAAACUCAUGAGUGUCACUAUUAGGAGAUGUGACUUUGUUGGAGUAGGUGUGACCUUGUUGGAGGAAGUGUGUCACUGUGGGGUGAGCUUUGAGGUCUCAUAGAUGCUCAAGCCAUGCCCAGGGCUUCAGACCACUUCCUGUUGCCUGCCAGUCAAGAUGAAGGACUCUGAGUUCCUUCUCCAGCACCACGUCUGCCUGCAUGCCACCAUAUCAAUGAUAACGGACUAAACCUCUGAAACUGUAAGCUCCCCAAUUAAAUGUUUUUCCUUGAUAAGAGUUGUCAAGGUCAUGAUGUCUCUUCACAGCAAUAGAAACCUAACUAAGAUAGAACCAUCCCCAGGACUUGAGCAAACAACUGGGAGAGGGGUUCAUGCUUAUGAUCCUAGAGCUGGGGAGGGGGACAGGAGGAUCCUGGCGCUCACGGCAGCCAGUGUAGUAGAAUCCGUGAGCUGCACUCCUAUAGUGGCAUUUCAAUUGUAUUUUAAUAAAUAAAGACUGCCUGAAGAUCUGAGAGUAGAACAGAACCAUUGGCCAGCCUUACAGACCAGAUUAUGGUAACAAACACCUUUAAUCCCAGCAGCCACACUAGUUGCCAAAGAAACCAGAUGGUGCAUACCUUUAAUCACGGUGGUGUACGCCUUUAAUCCCAGCCCCGGGGAGGAUUAUAAAAGGGGAGGAAACAGCUCUCAACACACACUGAGAUUCAGGAGGCAGGAUCAAAAUUUCAGACUGAGGCUGAGGCUGCUUUCGUCGGGGUUACAGCAAGGAUAACAAUACACACACCCAAGGCAGCUCUCCAUGCGCUGAGGAGUUUUUAAUCUUAACAGACGACUUCUAAGGGGUGUACUGGAUCAAACUACCUAAAAACAUGCCAGCUGGAGGUUUGGUUUUGUUUUCUGCAUUACUGGGGAUGGAAUGCAGGCCCUUGAGCACGCUCGGUAGGUGCUUACCCAGUGUUUCUCCCUCAUGCCCGGCUUCCACAGUUCUCUCUGAUUUGGCUAGCUUUGAUAUGCCCUGUAUUCACAACCAACCCUCUGUUCACACACACACACACACACACACACACACACACACACCCCUAUAUCUAUAGAUAUAUAUGUAUAUGUAUAUUAUAUGUAUAUCUAUAGCUCCAUUCUGUUUUGCUUUCUCUGGCUCUCAGAAGACCCAAAUUCAAGAGCAACUUGGGGAGGAAGAAGGUUAUUUGCCUUAUACUUCUGGGUCACAGGUCAAUUGAGAAAAAUCCCUCCAUAAAAUUGAGCUGGAGGCAAACCUGUAGGGCAUUUUCUUAAUUAGUGAUUGAUGGUGGUGCCAUCCCUUAGUGGAUGGCCCUGGGUUCUAUAAGAAAGCAGGCCAGUCAGCAGCACCCCUCGAUGGCCUCUGCAUCGCCUGAGGCCUCCAGGAUUCUGCAAUAUUGGACUUCCUGUCCUGAUGAGGAGCAGUGCUGUGAUGUGGAGGCAUAAGCCGAACAAACUGUCUCCUCUCCAAGCUGCUCCGGUCACAGUGUCUUAUCACAGCAAUAGAGACCGUACCUAAGGCAAUAGGUAAGGUAAAACUAAAAUAAAAAAUAAUAUAAACUUUAAAAAAAAAAAGAGAAAAGUUCUGACAUGGCA